rnacentral:rRNA from 1 species
UACGUAGGGUCCGAGCGUUGUCCGGAAUUACUGGGCGUAAAGAGCUCGUAGGCGGUUUGUCGCGUCUGCCGUGAAAGUCCGGGGCUCAACUCCGGAUCUGCGGUGGGUACGGGCAGACUAGAGUGAUGUAGGGGAGACUGGAAUUCCUGGUGUAGCGGUGAAAUGCGCAGAUAUCAGGAGGAACACCGAUGGCGAAGGCAGGUCUCUGGGCAUUAACUGACGCUGAGGAGCGGAAGCAUGGGGAGCGAACAGG